GACGAACGCUGGCGGCGUGCUUAACACAUGCAAGUCGAACGGAAAGGCCCUGCUUUUGUGGGGUGCUCGAGUGGCGAACGGGUGAGUAACACGUGAGUAACCUGCCCUUGACUUUGGGAUAACUUCAGGAAACUGGGGCUAAUACCGGAUAGGAGCUCCUGCUGCAUGGUGGGGGUUGGAAAGUUUCGGCGGUUGGGGAUGGACUCGCGGCUUAUCAGCUUGUUGGUGGGGUAGUGGCUUACCAAGGCUUUGACGGGUAGCCGGCCUGAGAGGGUGACCGGCCACAUUGGGGCUGAGAUACGGCCCAGACUCCUACGGGAGGCAGCAGUGGGGAAUAUUGCACAAUGGGCGGAAGCCUGAUGCAGCACCGCCGCGUGCGGGAUGACGGCCUUCGGGUUGUAAACCGCUUUCGCCUGUGACGAAGCGUGAGUGACGGUCAUGGGUAAAGAAGCACCGGCUAACUACGUG
rnacentral:rRNA from 1 species